rnacentral:rRNA from 1 species
GAUGAACGCUGGCGGCGUGCCUAAUACAUGCAAGUCGAGCGAACGGACGAGAAGCUUGCUUCUCUGAUGUUAGCGGCGGACGGGUGAGUAACACGUGGAUAACCUACCUAUAAGACUGGGAUAACUUCGGGAAACCGGAGCUAAUACCGGAUAAUCUUUUGAACCGCAUGGUUCAAAAGUGAAAGACGGUCUUGCUGUCACUUAUAGAUGGAUCCGCGCUGCAUUAGCUAGUUGGUAAGGUAACGGCUUACCAAGGCAACGAUGCAUAGCCGACCUGAGAGGGUGAUAGGCCACACUGGAACUGAGACGCGGUCCAGACUCCUACGGGAGGCAGCAGUAGGGAAUCUUCCGCAAUAGGCGAAAGCCUGACGGAGCAACGCCACGUGAGUGAUGAAGGUCUUCGGAUCGUAAAACUCUGUUAUUAGGGAAGAACAUAUGUGUAAGUAACUGUGCACAUCUUGACGGUACCUAAUCAGAAAGCCACGGCUAACUACGUG